rnacentral:tRNA from 1 species
GCCUGGGUGGCUCAGUCGGUUAAGCGUCCGACUUUGGCUCAGGUCAUGAUCUCACAGUCCGUGGGUUCGAGCCCCGCGUCGGGCU